GGGUUGCUAACUCAACGGUAGAGUACUC
rnacentral:tRNA from 26 species